GACGAACGCUGGCGGCGUGCCUAAUACAUGCAAGUAGAACGCUGAAGGAGGAGCUUGCUUCUCUGGAUGAGUUGCGAACGGGUGAGUAACGCGUAGGUAACCUGCCUGGUAGCGGGGGAUAACUAUUGGAAACGAUAGCUAAUACCGCAUAAUAGCAGUUGUUGCAUGAUAACUGUUUGAAAGGUGCAAUUGCACCACUACCAGAUGGACCUGCAUUGUAUUAGCUAGUUGGUGGGGUAACGGCUCACCAAGGCGACGAUACAUAGCCGACCUGAGAGGGGGAUCGGCCACACUGGGACGGAGACACGGCCCAGACUCCUACGGGAGGCAGCAGUAGGGAAUCUUCGGCAAUGGACGGAAGUCUGACCGAGCAACGCCGCGGGAGUGAAGAAGGUUUUCGGAUCGUAAAGCUCUGUUGUAAGAGAAGAACGAGUGUGAGAGUGGAAAGUUCACACUGUGACGGUAUCUUACCAGAAAGGGACGGCUAACUACGUG
rnacentral:rRNA from 1 species